UCUUUAUUUACAAUGGGUGCACAUCACAGUACUGUCAGCAACAAGACACCCUGCACACCGUAUCAGCAAUAUAGAUCACAAUAACCAGUAUGUGCUAGAUUCUAAAAGGAAUGGAAGAAUAAAUGAAAAAGAAAAAAGAACUGCAGCCAAGUAUGUGCAACUCUCUUUAAGGUUUGCCACAUCUCUUUAUUUCAGUUUAUGUAAAGAGCCUUACAGAAUUGACACUGACAGUGCAUAAACAAAAUGAGUUAAUAGGAAGACAGUGUACAAAACCAAAAACUGCUUAGAACAUACUUACCUAAACAUACUUACCUAGUAAAAAAAAAAAAAAAAAAAAUUUAAAUUCAGGAGGCAAUUUGCAAGCCUUCUGUCAUUGUGUCUUAAGACACUCCUCUAUUCAGCAUGUUCACAUAGCAUGUUUUGAAAAAGAGAGGGUAUUUUCUCUAUAGAUAGCAUACGGAAAUGUCGGCAUUCAUUUGGGAAAAAGAUUGGUGAUCCGAGGUAUGUAUCCGUCACCCAGAUUGAAGUCAUGAUAAAGCUAAAAUAGGU